rnacentral:rRNA from 1 species
UACAGAGGGGGCAAGCGUUGUUCGGAAUUACUGGGCGUAAAGGGCGCGUAGGCGGCCUUCUAAGUCGAACGUGAAAUCCCUGGGCUCAACCCAGGAACUGCGUCCGAUACUGGUUGGCUUGAAUCCGGGAGAGGGACGUGGAAUUCCAGGUGUAGCGGUGAAAUGCGUAGAUAUCUGGAGGAACACCGGUGGCGAAGGCGACGUCCUGGACCGGCAUUGACGCUGAGGCGCGAAAGCGUGGGGAGCAAACAGG